GGCCGCUGCCGCCAUGGAAACGCGAUCCCGCCCGCCGGCUGCCGCGGGGCCGGGGCACAGCGAGCCGGCCCGGGGCUGGCAGAACGCGAGAGAACUUAGCCCCAAACUAAAGAAAGCAGCGCCACGCAGUGCUGGCGUGUCUGCAGCCUCUGUUCUAGGCAGCCUCUUUAGGCAUCAGGAGCUGAGUCAAGCCUAACUGAGUUUUAUAGGUCAAGAGGUCUGUGACCAGAAGGAAGGAACCAGCCCUUUUCUAAAGAGGAUGUCAUUUAAGUCUCCAAACAGAAAUCUCUGCCCUACAGCACUGUAGAAAGCCUGAUCAGCCCUGGCUAAAAACUCAGGCUAAACUUGGUUACGUGAGUCACCACUUCACUGACUUCAUAUUGCAGGCAUGAUGGGAAGCAACCACGGUGAUGCUGAUAGACACCAGAGCAUAGAAGAGGGGGGAAAUAAUGAGAAGCAAAAAUAAAGUGCCAGUUUCUCCU